AACAAACGCUGGCGGCGUGCCUAAUACAUGCAAGUCGAACGGGGAAAGCUUUCGGGUGAGUACUAGUGGCGCACGGGUGAGGAACGCGUGGAUAAUCUGCCUUAGAGUGGGGGAUAACUAGUCGAAAGAUUAGCUAAUACCGCAUAAGACCACAAGAACUGCGGUUCAAGGGGUCAAAGGUUUUUCGCUCUAAGAUGAGUCCGCGUAAGAUUAGCUAGUUGGUGAGGUAACGGCUCACCAAGGCGACGAUCUUUAACUGGUCUGAGAGGAUGAUCAGUCACACUGGAACUGAGACCCGGUCCAGACUCCUACGGGAGGCAGCAGUAGGGAAUAUUGCACAGUGGAGGAAACUCUGAUGCAGCGACGCCGCGUGAGUGAUGAAGGCCUUCGGGUCGUAAAGCUCUGUCGCAGGGGAAUAACACAAUGAAGGUACCCUGUAAGAAAGGAUCGGCUAACUUCGUGCCAGCAGCCGCCGUAA
rnacentral:rRNA from 1 species